AAAUGAAACAAAACUGGAUCAAAUACAGCAGCAAGAUUACAUUACCAUUGAGGACAUACACCUACUUCAAAAAAAAAAAGAAAAAAAGGAAAGGUAUGAUGACAUCCUCUAAAACAUGAAAUACCUACAAAAGUACAAGCUGUAUAAUGAAAACCCAACUGGAAACUUCUGGGAUAAUUGACAAUACUAAACAACAUGGCGUUUGUGUUCAGGCUACUUCAAAACCUCUCUUCUUUUACGCUGCUUGAGAUCACUGGGGAUAAUAAAAACUGAAUCUACACAAAGCCCACC
rnacentral:misc_RNA from 1 species